rnacentral:rRNA from 1 species
GACACGACUCUCGGCAAUGGAUAUCUCGGCUCUCGCAUCGAUGAAAGCGCAGCGAAAUGCGAUACGUGGUGCGAAUUGCAGAAUCCCGCGAAC